AUGAACGCUGGCGGCGUGCCUCAUACAUGCAAGUCGAGCGAACAGACGAGGAGCUUGCUCCUCUGACGUUAGCGGCGGACGGGUGAGUAACACGUGGAUAACCUACCUAUAAGACUGGGAUAACUUCGGGAAACCGGAGCUAAUACCGGAUAAUAAAUUGAACCGCAUGGUUCAAUAGUGAAAGACGGUUUUGCUGUCACUUAUAGAUGGAUCCGCGCCGCAUUAGCUAGUUGGUAAGGUAACGGCUUACCAAGGCAACGAUGCGUAGCCGACCUGAGAGGGUGAUCGGCCACACUGGAACUGAGACACGGUCCAGACUCCUACGGGAGGCAGCAGUAGGGAAUCUUCCGCAAUGGGCGAAAGCUUGACGGAGCAACGCCGCGUGAGUGAUGAAGGUCUUCGGAUCGUAAAACUCUGUUAUUAGGGAAGAACAAAUGUGUAAGUAACUAUGCACGUCUUGACGGUACCUAAUCAGAAAGCCACGGCUAACUACGUG
rnacentral:rRNA from 1 species